CGUUUCGGCAAUCGGUGAUUCUUCGCUACCUCACUUGAUCUAUCGUUCACUCUCUCACUAGAUCGAACUCAUUCUCUCUCUCUCUCCCUAUCACACUCGUUCUCUCUCGAACCCUAGCCUCCAAUCCCUUUCACUGAAUCACAAAUUCAAUCCCUAAUUGAAGAAUCAAGGCUUACUGAACCCAAAUCGAAGAUCAGUGAAACGAUUAAGGGUUGUUACAGAGUCAUAAUUGCACCGCCUCUGCUCUCGAUCUAAAACUAGCUAUAAAGGUGGAAAAUAUGAUAAAGCUAAAUGAUGAAUUUGAUUACAAAAGCUUAUCAAGAAGGAUAGACAUAUAAGUAGGUAAACUCAUUAUGCAACAUGAUAGACAGCAGAAGGCAUUUGAGGAUGAGAUUGAAAGCUUAGGUACUGAAGCACAACAUCUGAUACUUGAGGCUUAAAGAAACUUUGUAGAUUCAUUGGAGAUGAUGAUAAUUGACUCUAAAUUACCUUAUCCAAGUGGAACUGCUACAGGUGUUCUUAUUAAUGGAUUCCAUACUCCUUAAGGAAAUGUCAUGGCCAAGAAGUAACUUAAGGGUUUCACGCAAUUCUUCUCACUCAGUUUGCUUUGGUCUUUCUUCCAAUGGUUCUAUGCUGGUGGAGACCAAUGUGGAUUUGGUCAGUUUCCUACUUUCGGGUGGAAAGCGUGGAAAAACACAUUUUACUUUGAUUUCAGCAUGACUUAUGUUGGAGCAGGAAUGAUCUGUUCUCAUCUUGUCAAUUUAUCAUUGUUUUUCGGUGUUGUGGUUUCAUGGGGCAUUAUGUGGCCAUUGA